rnacentral:rRNA from 1 species
GCAUAUCAAUAAGCGGAGGAAAAGAAACUAACAAGGAUUCCCCUAGUAACGGCGAGUGAAGCGGGAACAGCUCAAAUUUUAAAUCUGGCUGCUUCGCAGUCCGAGUUGUAAUUUGAAGGCGUCUGUCGCAUGUGAGACGAUGGCACAAGUCCUCUGGAACGUGGCAUCGUAGAGGGUGAGAAUCCCGUCUCUGGUCGUUGUCUUGCAGGCACACGGCAGGCGAUCCGAAGAGUCGAGUUGUUUGGGAUUGCAGCUCCAAAUGGGUGGUAAACUCCAUCUGAGGCUAAAUAUUGGCGAGAGACCGAUAGCGAACAAGUACCGUGAGGGAAAGAUGAAAAGAACUUUGAAAAGAGAGUAAAACAGUACGUGAAAUUGUCGAAAGGGAAACGCUUGAAGUCAGUCGUGCCGGCGGGGAUUCAGCGAACUUCGCGGAGUGAGCGUAUUUCCUCGCAUGGCAGGUCAGCGUCAGUUUUGCGCGUCGUGAAAGGGCUCGGGUAAGGUGACUCUCUUCGGGGAGUGUUAUAGGCCUGAGCAGAUGCGAUGCGCGGGACUGAGGAUUGCAGCGGACACCCUUCGGGGCGCGGCGACCGAUCCCUGCUCUGUCACCUUCGUCCGAUAGCGUGCUAACGGUCGGGGGAGCGGCGGUUGCACCGGGUUGGCAAGCCGGCGGCUUCGCUAAGGAUGCUGACGUAAUGGCUUUAAACGAC